UGGGGAAUAUUGCACAAUGGGCGCAAGCCUGAUGCAGCCAUGCCGCGUGUAUGAAGAAGGCCUUCGGGUUGUAAAGUACUUUCAGCGGGGAGGAAGGGAGUAAAGUUAAUACCUUUGCUCAUUGACGUUACCCGCAGAAGAAGCACCGGCUAACUCCGUGCCAGCAGCCGCGGUAAUACGGAGGGUGCAAGCGUUAAUCGGAAUUACUGGGCGUAAAUCGCACGCAGGCGGUUUGUUAAGUCAGAUGUGAAAUCCCCGGGCUCAACCUGGGAACUGCAUCUGAUACUUGCAAGCUUGAGUCUCGUAGAGGGGGGUAGAAUUCCAGGUGUAGCGGUGAAAUGCGUAGAGAUCUGGAGGAAUACCGGUGGCGAAGGCGGCCCCCUGGACGAAGACUGACGCUCAGGUGCGAAAGCGUGGGGAGCAAACAGG
rnacentral:rRNA from 1 species